AUAUGGGGCAGGGAUGGAAUAUUUAUGGGCAGGAAUGGAAGAUAUGGGCAGGAAUGGAAAUAUUGGCAGGAUGGAGGUUAUGGCGGCAGAGUGGAUGAAGAUAUGGCAGGAUGGAAGAUAUGGGCAGGGGCAUGGGGAGGAUAUGGGCAGGAUGGAAGCAUUAUGGGAGGGAUGGAAGAUAUGGGGCAGGGAUGGAAGAUAUGGGCAGGGAUGGAGAUAUGGGGCAGGGAAUGGAAGAUAUGGGGCAGGGAUGGAAGAUAUGGGGCAGGGAUGGAGGAUAUGGGGCAGGGAUGGAAGAUAUGGGGCAGGGAUGGAAGAUAUGGGGCAGGGAUGGAAGAUAUGGGGCAGGGAUGGAAGAUAUGGGGCAGGUGGAG
ensembl:lncRNA